UUAGCACGCUCUGCUGAGGAAUGCCUCGCUGCACUGGCCAGUUAAAGCACUUCCUGUUGAACACGACUGAUUAGAACGGCUGGUUUAGCACAGCAGAGGUGGGGUUGUGAAGGAGUCUCCAGGAAGCAGCUCUGCUUGCUGGUUGGUUUGGAUCAUGGUUUAAAACUCUUGAUUGAAGGAUUUUUAAACAUGCCUACUGAGGACAGAGAUGGCAUAAAUAGUUGCAGAAAGAGCUGAUACUGGGGAAACAUCUGUAUUUGGCAGGCGGCGUGAGGUUGAGUCUCUCCAAAGAGUCGCUGCACUCCUCGUCUAGAACAUAAUCGAAGUUCAAGAUGAACAUCAUCACAACUCCUUCCUCGUUCUUCACUGGGAUGAUCAGGAGAAGGUGAGAUUGAAGGAGUGAUGGCAGCUUUCAUUACCGACAAAACCCUCUCCAGCUCCAACAACCUCUAAGAGACAAACAACGUGAAAAGAGAGAGAGACAGCGGCCCCCGUCCUGAGCUGGUGGGUGUGAUCACGGAUAAAUGCGCUGAAUCAGACCCAGAGGUCAGAGGUCAAAGGUCACAGCCUGUGCUUCUCUCUGCAGGCUUAGCUCUGUUCAGCUGCCCUUAUUCUGCAGCGGCGGGACUUAGCAGCCCGUGACAGGCCCUGCGGCACAAUGAAUCUGUCCACAUGGACUCCAUGUCUUUUCUUUUUUUAGUCCAAUCCAUCCUUAUCUCCUGCUCAUUGAGUUCACUCCCAAAGCCCCUUUGGUGAUGAAAGGAUACAAAAAUGCUCAUAUCUGCUGCACUGAAGGAUUAUUCAAAUGUUUGGGUGUUUGUGUGAAAGAUUGUGAGGGAUAGUA